rnacentral:rRNA from 1 species
CAGUAGCCGCGGGAAUACGUAGGUGGCAAGCGUUGUCCGGAAUUAUUGGGCGUAAAGGGCUCGCAGGCGGUUUCUUAAGUCUGAUGUGAAAGCCCCCGGCUCAACCGGGGAGGGUCAUUGGAAACUGGGAAACUUGAGCGCAGAAGAGGAGAGUGGAAUUCCACGUGUAGCGGUGAAAUGCGUAGAGAUGCGGAGGAACACCAGUGGCGAAGGCGACUCUCUGGUCUGUAACUAACGCUGAGAAGCGAAAGCGUGGGGAGCGAACAGGAUUAGAUACCCCUGUAGUCCCUGUCUCUUAUAA